AGUCCCUUCUGAAAAAAUCAAUAAAAUUGAAACGAUACAAAAAAUAUCAGCACUGUCCCUGUGUGAGGAGGACACACAAACCGAGAAAUGAUUCAAAUUCCU
rfam:Capsicum annuum cultivar Zunla-1 chromosome 1, whole genome shotgun sequence